AUGGACGCACGGAUGCGGUUGGUACUUCAGGUCGGAGCACUGAUAGCUGUCAUUUAGGCAUGGGUCAUGUUCAUGCACAAGAGAGUUGUUCGUCGUGUUGAGCCUGUCAUAAGAUGUCCUUCAAUGCUAAUGCGAGAGCAGAAGAGGAUCUCCAAUAACUACAUAUACAACUGCAACGACCCAAAGGCUAUGUGGAUGCUUAGAAUGAAAAGAGCACCAUUUGCCAGACUUGUCCACACCUUUAGGACCGGGGUGCUAGAAGAUAGCAUCUCCACCAGUGUGGAAGAGCAAGUCGCCAUGUUCCUUCAUAUUGUUGGCCAUAACCAAAGGUUCAGGGUUAUCCACAACACAUUUAGGAGGUCAAUGAAGGUUACAUCAAGAUACUUCAAGCAAGUGUUGUAUGUUGUUGAGGAGCUCAGAGGAGAGAUGAUCAAGUCACCAACUGGCCGGGCUCCUACCAAGAUUCUCACAGGCCCAAGAUGGUAUCCAUACUUCAAGGUGAGCACUGCGGUAUGUAGUUCUUUGCUUGAUAUGCUUGGAUAG
rnacentral:rRNA from 1 species